CCGGCCCGUGCCUUCAGCCCUAAACAGGCAGCUAGUACAGCUCGCUGCGUGACGGGGAGAGGCAACAGUGCGCCGCAGUGUCUCGUCAUUCAUUGAGUUGUGUCUGUGAUUGCAGCACGUGAAAACAUGACAGUGACACGGGUGCUAACACUGCCUCACGAUCAGUUUUGGACUAUGUGGCCCCUUCCUGAAGUUUCCUAAAAAAGAAAGAAUGAUGAAAGAUGAUGAAAAAACUGAAAGAUUAUGAAAGAACUGAAAAGAAGGAAGUUCUUCACAUGCAUCAGUGAGCUAUUAAAAGAGAGGAGGAUGUGAUUUGGCCAUCUGAGGAUCUCUCGCCUGGCUUUAUGGAGCAUUCAGCUGGCUCUGAGGGCCAUAUCCUGUUCCAGCUGUAUCUGCACAAGAAAGAUAUCUUCCAUCUUAUCAUGGCUGAAACAACAAAUGUAAAUGCUGGUGCUUUAUCCUGCUGAGACUACUGCAGGAGGACACUGGUGGGGAAAUUUGCCUAUGAAUUUUCAAAAAGGCUGAAGAUGAGCAGUGCUGGUAAACCUGAGCCAUCGGCUGACUCCUCAUUUCAGAAAAGUGUUCCGACUUCCUCAUUGUUCCCCAUGAAGAGGAUGGCUCCUCGUAAUCCAGUAAUACAAAGUGGUUUCUGAUUUGUGUGAGAACAUGGGAACUGGGAAACGGGAUUUGACAGUUCUUCUGCCAAGCUGUUGGAAUGAUGCUGCAAUACCCCAGUCAGGACUGACUGCUGAGAGAAUAACAGAGAAAUGAGAUUACCAUGAAACUGAGCGAACAGUGAUCUACAUUUUGCAACAGGCUCCCUGAUCCAGCGAAAGAUGUGAGAGAAUGUGAUUGCUGCAACAUUUACCAUCACAUCAAGGAGCAAGGCUGAUGACUGAAAUUCUGGACGUCUAGGAACUACGCAGGCAAACUUCAAC
rnacentral:lncRNA from 1 species